CGCGUCCCCGAGCGGAGACCGAGGCACUGCCCGCCCCAGCUGCUGCCCACGUCACAGUGCAGGCGGACCGGAGCCCCAGCGGCAGAGCAGCCUGCGCCCCGCGGGCCCCGCCGAAGAGUAGCGGCCCGGGGCGGGGGCUGGAGCGCGGGCGCCACGAGUCCCAGCACUGCCCGCCGCGCUGCCGGCGCCCCAGGCUGGAGGAGGAUGCCGGACCCGCAGGGAAUUCAUUCCUGUCCCAGCCCUGGCCGCCCUUCUGACGGAGGAGCGGCGGGCAAAACCCGCUGCCCCCCGAGCAGAAGCUGAGGGGAGACGCUAGGCAGCCUCGGGGCGACGGCGGCCAGUGGGCGCCGAGCGAGGAGCACGAAGAACCGGCUGCGGCCGGGCGAGGCGGCGGGAAGCGUUCGGAGCCGCUGCCGAAGCUUCCAGCAGAGCCCUCGAAGUCGUUCCGUUCCUUUCUUCUGUAAACACCUAAUUGCAAGCCCCCGUGGGCCAGGCAUGGGGUACCAGAGAUCAGUAAAGCGGAGUCUCUGCCCUCGGGACCCCGUGUGGCGAAUACAGUGUGGUAAAUGAAAUCACAAAUCGUGGGAAAUUGUGAAAGGAAUCACGUUCUGUACACACACGCGACAAACAGCUCAACACAUUUCACAUAUAUUUCAGUCCUCAUCUGUUCAGAAGCUACUAUUAAAAGCUACUAUUAUCCCACCUCACAGAGGAGGAAACCGAGGCUCAGUUGUGUAACUUCUUGCUCAGAGUCACACAGCUAAUAGUAAUACGGAAGCGGGGAUUCUUAAACUGCCUGAUUGACUCCAAAAUGGACUUUACUGCUUUCUACUGAUAAAAGAAUUUGAAAUGACACUCAGAGCUAACUCAGUCUUCUAGAACGCUGGAGCUGGGAGUCACUCUAGGGACAGCCCUUGUUCUGUAAACAAGGGAGCAACAGCCCUGACAGAGCCAACUGGCAGGAAGAGCCAGCAAAGUUGCCUGCAAGAGAGAGCACGUGGCCUGAGGGGUGAACCAGGGACAGCCUCUGAAGAGCGAAGGAUUUAUCUGAGCAGCCAAAUGUCCACUGACAGACAGGUCUGUGUGUGCUAGAGAAACUUGUUCCACAGCUCAGAUGAAAAACGUAUUGUGGAAUUCACCCACAAGGGGAA
rnacentral:lncRNA from 1 species